UACGGGGGGGAGCAAGCGUUGUUCGGAUUUACUGGGCGUAAAGGGCGCGUAGGCGGUCAGCACAAGUCAGUUGUGAAAUCUCCGGGCUUAACCCGGAAAGGUCAACUGAUACUGUGCGACUAGAGUGCGGAAGGGGCAACUGGAAUUCUCGGUAUAGCGGUGAAAUGCGUUGAUAUCCAGAGGAACUCCGGUGGCGAAGGCGGCCCGCUGGACCCGGUCUGACGCUGAGGCGCGGAAGCCAGGGGAGCGGAACGGG
rnacentral:rRNA from 1 species